rnacentral:rRNA from 1 species
CAUAGCGACUAUCGUGGCAUAUCAAUAAGCGGAGGAAAAGAAACUAACAAGGAUUCCCUUAGUAACGGCGAGUGAAGCGGGAAGAGCUCAAAUUUGAAAUCUUCAAGGUUUUACCUUGACGAAUUGUAGUUUAAAGAAGUGUUUUCUGUUGGAGUUUUGGUAAAAGUUCUUUGGAAUAGGACAUCAUAGAGGGUGAGAAUCCCGUAUUUGACCAUUAUUUCCAGCUGUGUGAUGCAGCUUUCAACGAGUCGGAUUGUUUGGGAAUGCAGUCCAAAAUGGGUGGUAAAUUUCAUCUAAAGCUAAAUAUUGGCGAGAGACCGAUAGCGAACAAGUACCGUGAGGGAAAGAUGAAAAGAACUUUGAAAAGAGAGUUAAACAGUACGUGAAAUUGUCAAAAGGGAAGCGUUUGACACCAGUGUUGUUUUCUCGAAAAUCAAUUAAAAAAGGCCGGAUUUUGUGUUGUAUUGACCUUAAAAGCUUUCUUCACUCUUUUCUUGUCUUUUUUAAUGCACUUUUCGUUUAACAAGUCAACAUUCAGUUUCUUUUGUUGUAAAAGGGUCAUUGGAAGGUGGCUUUCUUUUCGGAGAAAGUGUUUAUAGCCUUUGAUCUCUGCAACCGGAGAGACUGAGGUCUGCAGCGUAGACUCUUCGGGGUUAAGAUACAUUUGUGCUAAGCUAUAGCUUUUUAUAGACAACUUGUUGACUAUAUUUAGUCUUGUGGCUUACUCGCUUAUGCUAUUUUACCUACGCUUAGGAUGUUGAUAGUCACAGCGUGUAC